rnacentral:lncRNA from 1 species
GUCUGUUGAUACUCUGUAACAUAGUCUAACAGGGGAGAGGUCUGUUGAUACUCUGUUACAUAGUCUUACAGGGGAGAGGUCUGUUGAUACUCUGUUACAUAGUCUUUACAGGGGAGAGGUCUGUUGAUACUCUGUUACAUAGUCUUUACAGGGGAGAGGUCUGUUGAUACUCUGUUACAUAGUCUUUACAGGGGAGAGGUCUGUUGAUACUCUGGUACAUAGUCUUUACAGGGGAGAGGUCUGUUGAUACUCUGUUACAUAGUCUAACAGGGGAGAGGUCUGUUGAUACUCUGUUACAUAGUCUUCCAGGGGAGAGGUCUGUUGAUACUCUGUUACAUAGUCUUACAGGGGAGAGGUCUGUUGAUACUCUGUUACAUAGUCUUACAGGGGAGAGGUCUGUUGAUACUCUGUUACAUAGUCUUACAGGGGAGAGGUCUGUUGAUACUCUGUUACAUAGUCUAACAGGGGAGAGGUCUGUUGAUACUCUGUUACAUAGUCUUACAGGGGAGAGGUCUGUUGAUACUCUGUUAUAUGUGGAUUUUCACAUCUUAAACAAGGACACUCAUCGUGGCACAAUCCUAGGCUACAGAUAGGAAAGAAGUCUGUGUACUGGAAACAGUGGCUAUUGAAAGGAAUUCAUACUAUAGGUGAUCUGUACAAUGAAGUUUUAAUGUCAUUACUCAUAUGCUACAAAAUAUGAUGUGGGAGACAAGGGACAUUUCUGGAAAUAUUUAUUAACCGGCUAUCAACAAAAUCCAGCAAAUAACCCAAUAGCUGAGUAUUUGGAAUUGCCCAAACAAUAAGCAGUCAUAUUUUACUCAAUAUUUAGUCAUCUGCAGAGUAAAGACUGUAAAAACCUCAGAACAAUAUGGCAAAUUGACCUUAAGUGUGAAAUUGAGGAUGAUACCUGGUUGAAGAUCUUGUCCAGCUCAGGGAGGAACAUAAGGGAAGCCAGGGGGAAACUUACUCAAUAGAAGAUACUACAUAGGUCUUAUUGGACCCCAAC